rnacentral:rRNA from 1 species
GACAGAGGGGGCAAGCGUUGCUCGGAAUCACUGGGCGUAAAGGGCGCGUAGGCGGGAUGGCAAGUCAGUCGUGAAAUCUCUCGGCUCAACCGAGAAACGUCGGCUGAUACUGCCGUUCUUGAGGGAUGCAGAGGAGACUGGAAUUCCCGGUGUAGCGGUGAAAUGCGCAGAUAUCAGGAGGAACACCGGUGGCGAAGGCGGGUCUCUGGGCCGAUACUGACGCUGAGGAGCGAAAGCGUGGGGAGCAAACAGG